GAGUUUGAUCCUGGCUCAGAGCGAACGCUGGCGGAAUGCUUAACACAUGCAAGUCGCACGGUCAGCAAUGGCAGUGGCGGACGGGUGAGUAACGCGUAGGAAUAUGUCCAGAGGUGGGGGACAACCCCGGGAAACUGGGGCUAAUACCGCAUAUGAGCUGAGGCUCAAAGCAGUGAUGCGCCUUUGGAGUAGCCUGCGUCCGAUUAGCUUGUUGGUGGGGUAAUGGCCUACCAAGGCGACGAUCGGUAGCUGGUCUGAAAGGACGACCAGCCACACUGGGACUGAGACACGGCCCAGACUCCUACGGGAGGCAGCAGUGGGGAAUAUUGGACAAUGGGCGCAAGCCUGAUCCAGCAAUUCCGCGUGGGUGAAGAAGGUCUUCGGAUUGUAAAGCCCUUUCGACGGGGACGAUGAUGACGGUACCCGUAGAAGAAGCCCCGGCUAACUUUGUGCCAGCCGCCGCGGUAC
rnacentral:rRNA from 1 species